CCGAGCAAGGAGCCAUUUUUUGGUGACCAUUUUUUCCCAGCUAAUCAACAAAGAGAUGUAAGAUCAAGACAGUGGCUCCCCACCCGUUCGCACAUUUCUUAGCAAAAUGUAUCUUUUUCUUAUCCUGCCCAUUCUUGAUUUGUUUUGCUCCGAAAAUUGCCUGUUAUUUUGCAGAAAACCCAUCUCAUUCAGCGUCUUUUCAUCCGGCCUCAAAACUUGCAGUGGUGAGAACACAAGUUAACAUAUGACGCCACUGAUCCCACAGUGGCCCCCACCAUGCCUCCAAAGGGCCCUCCGACAAAGAGGCCGACCAGAGCUCCCAGCAGGGCCUCCCUUCUCACCAGUGUGGGCAGCCACUUCAACCAGGCCACCAACGUCUCCCAGAAGCUUCGGAGAGAAGAGGCAAAAGGGGAGGCAGGUGAUAUGCUGGAUGAAGGGAAAAUAUUAUCCAAGUCCACAUUUAAGUCUCCUAUGCUUCUUUCUGCCUCUUCCCGGGCUUCCUCCAUCUCUUCAUCAGUCACCUCUGAGUCUCUCAAAGAUGAAGGAUCAUCUUGUGCAUCUUUCCUCCUUUCUCGCACUAUUUCAAUCUGCUUCUUCCGCACUUGUUCUUCAACCUCCUCAUACAAAAGACUGCUAAAGUGCUCUUCCCCGCUCUCCUUCACUGCUUCUUCAACCUUCUCCAACAUACCCUCAAGAGCUUCCGAUUCACUCCGGGUCUCUAGGGUGUGAUAUCGACCGCCACAUCUCUGCAGCAGCACCUGGAGGUCCUUGCGCCAUGUGACGAGGUAAUCUUCCAGCCUCUCGUCCUCCUCCAACUCCUCCAUGUUGGUGAAGAGGAGGAUGGUGUUUCUGCUGACUGCAGAGGCGCCAAACAGCUUCUCCAGGACAUCCAGUGCUUUGGUCUCUCCAUCGGCUGGCUGGUUCACAGACACGCAUAAUAGAAAAGCAUGCGGCCCUGGGCAGGAUAAUGUGAUCAUGUCGGAGAUGUGCCUUCUUCUUUCUUCUGGGUGGCAAUCUGCACUGAACCAGUCUGGGCUGGACACCACCAGCACCUACAAAAACAUGAUGAGGGGACAAAACCAUUAUCAAAGUAGAUCUUUUUAAGUGCUGUAAGCGUAAAUUGUUUAUUAUUCUGUUUUUAUGUGCAGUAGUGUAGAAUGGCACACAAACAUUGCACGAGCAUUCACAGGAAAAAAAAAAGGAAAUUUACAAAAUUUAGGGUUAGUGACUCUUUUUUGAAGAAACGUUCUUCGGCCCCACACCCGCCCCUCUAUUUGAGAAGCACUGGGUUAGUCUAAACAGGAUAUUCUACUGUUUCGGUUUUUAUUUUUUAAGAAAAAAAAAAAGAUCUUGCUUCAUAAUCCCCCAUACAAGAAGAAAAAUGCAGGUGACUUUCUACCCUCGAUGCGGGAUCGUGGGUAAUUCCACCGGUUUUCAAAGUGUACCCUCUGAGAAAAAACAAAAACCUUUUCUGUAGCACAUUUUACUUGUUUUUGAGUGUUCUGCUCACCCUCGACUCUGUUUAGCAGGUUUUGAAAAAUGUGUUUUUCUGUAUUUUUCUCAAGCUGCUGCAUCUGCCCUGAGGUGUCCUGCUGACGCUUGCCGCACACUUUGUAAACUCCUGACUUGUUCUGUUAAAAAAUGUGCUGGUUACACAUUAUUUGUCAUCAGCUGUAACGGAAGGUGUUAAUCUAAUAUUCCCUUCGAGAUAUUUUGUGCAAAUUCACCUCAAGGCGAUUUAGGUCUGCGUGCAGCGUGUGUGUCCAACUGAUGUCUGCUGAUGCAUAAAUUGUAUUCGAAGCACUUUGCCGCCAUCUAGUGGUCAGAGCGCAAACUGCAUCUGGAAGUUUGGCUUCUCAAAGAAUAAAUGAAGAAUGGAUUUGAAAUUGUCUAAAUGUGAGAAAAGAUGCACUAAAAUA